rnacentral:rRNA from 1 species
GACAGAGGGGGCGAAGCGUUGCUCGGAAUUACUGGGCGUAAAGGGCGCGAGUAGGCGGAAUGGCAAGUCGGUCGUGAAAUCCUUCGGCUCAACCGAAGAACGUCGAUCGAAACUGCCGUUCUUGAGGAUUGCAGAGGAGACUGGAAUUCCCGGUGUAGCGGUGAAAUGUGUAGAGAUCGGGAGGAACACCGGUGGCGAAGGCAGCUCUCUGGGUCCCUACCGACGCUGGG